UGGGUGCUUAGCUCAGCUGGUAGAGCGGCGCCCUUACAAGGCGUAGGUCGGGGGUUCGAUCCCCUCAGCACCCAA
rnacentral:tRNA from 1 species